rnacentral:rRNA from 1 species
CCUACGGGAGGCAGCAGUGGGGAAUAUUGGACAAUGGGGGGAACCCUGAUCCAGCCAUGCCGCGUGUGUGAAGACGGCCCUCGGGUUGUAAAGCACUUUCAGUGAGGAAGAACGCCUGGUGGUUAAUACCCAUCAGGAAAGACAUCACUCACAGAAGAAGCACCGGCUAACUCCGUGCCAGCAGCCGCGGUAAUACGGAGGGUGCGAGCGUUAAUCGGAAUUACUGGGCGUAAAGCGCGCGUAGGUGGCUUGAUAAGCCGGUUGUGAAAGCCCCGGGCUCAACCUGGGAACGGCAGCCGGAACUGUCAAGCUAGAGUGCAGGAGAGGAAGGUAGAAUUCCCGGUGUAGCGGUGAAAUGCGUAGAGAUCGGGAGGAAUACCAGUGGCGAAGGCGGCCUUCUGGACUGACACUGACACUGAGGUGCGAAAGCGUGGGUAGCAAACAGGAUUAGAUACCCCGGUAGUC